CCUUUGACGUUAGCGGCGGACGGGUGAGUAACACGUGGGUAACCUACCUAUAAGACUGGGAUAACUUCGGGAAACCGGAGCUAAUACCGGAUAAUAUUUCGAACCGCAUGGUUCGAUAGCGAAAGAUGGUUUUGCUAUCACUUAUAGAUGGACCCGCGCCGUAUUAGCUAGUUGGUAAGGUAACGGCUUACCAAGGCGACGAUACGUAGCCGACCUGAGAGGGUGAUCGGCCACACUGGAACUGAGACACGGUCCAGACUCCUACGGGAGGCAGCAGGU
rnacentral:rRNA from 1 species